rnacentral:rRNA from 1 species
AACGAACGCUGGCGGCAUGCCUAACACAUGCAAGUCGAACGAGACCUUCGGGUCUAGUGGCGCACGGGUGCGUAACGCGUGGGAACCUGCCCUUAGGUUCGGAAUAACUCCCCGAAAGGGGUGCUAAUACCGGAUAAUGUCUUCGGACCAAAGAUUUAUCGCCUUUGGAUGGGCCCGCGUUGGAUUAGCUAGUUGGUAGGGUAAAAGCCUACCAAGGCGACGAUCCAUAGCUGGUCUGAGAGGAUGAUCAGCCACACUGGGACUGAGACACGGCCCAGACUCCUACGGGAGGCAGCAGUGGGGAAUAUUGGACAAUGGGCGAAAGCCUGAUCCAGCAAUGCCGCGUGAGUGAUGAAGGCCUUAGAGUUGUAAAGCCCUUUUACCCGGGAUGAUAAUGACAGUACCGGGAGAAUAAGCUCCGGCUAACUCCGUG